rnacentral:rRNA from 1 species
AUACCCGGGUAGUCCCAGCUGUAAACGAUGCAGGCUAGGUGUUUGGACGGCCACGUGCCGUUCUAGUGCCGCAGGGAAGCUGUUAAGCCUGCCGCCUGGGGAGUACGAUCGCAAGAUUGAAACUUAAAGGAAUUGGCGGGGGAGCACCACAAGGGGUGAAGCUUGCGGUUUAAUUGGAGUCAACGCCGGAAAUCUCACCGGGAGCGACAGCAGUAUGAAGGCCAGAUUAAAGGUCUUGCCAGACGAGCUGAGAGGAGGUGCAUGGCCGUCGCCAGUUCGUGCCGUGAGGUGUCCUGUUAAGUCAGGCAACGAUCGAGACCCGCGUCCUCUGUUGCAACUAGCUUUGAGCUGGGCACACUGAGGAGACCGCCACUGAUAAAGUGGAGGAAGGAGCGGGCCACGGCAGGUCAGUAUGCCCCGAAUCUCCCGGGCCACACGCGAGCUGCAAUGGCAGGUACAAUGGGUUCCGACCUCGAAAGGGGAAGGCAAUCUCGAAAGCCUGCCGUAGUUGGGAUCGAGGGCUGCAACCCGCCCUCGUGAACAUGGAAUCCCUAGUAAUCGC